rnacentral:rRNA from 1 species
AGAGUUUGAUCCUGGCUCAGGACGAACGCUGACGGUGUGCUUUAGGCAUGCAAGUCGAACGAGAAAGCCCUUCGGGGUGAGUAAAGUGGCGAACGGGUGAGUAACACGUGGGCAACCUGCCCCUCGCAGGGGGACAACCGGAGGAAACUCCGGCUAAUACCCCGUACGCUUGUUGGAUCGCAUGGUCCGGCAAGGAAAGGUAGCUUCGGCCAUCCGGCGAGGGAUGGGCCCNNGUUGCAUUAGCUAGUUGGUGGGGUAACGGCCUACCAAGGCGACGAUGCGUAGCUGGUCUGAGAGGAUGAUCAGCCACACUGGGACUGAGACACGGCCCAGACUCCUACGGGAGGCAGCAGCCAGGAAUCUUGCGCAAUGGGCGAAAGCCUGACGCAGCAACACCGUGUGAGUGAUGAAGGCCUUCGGGUCGUAAAGCUCUGUUGUUGGGGACGAAGGGCGAGGGGUUAAUAGCCCCGAGCUUGACGGUACCCUUCGAGGAAGCCCCGGCUAACUACGUGCCAGCAGCCGCGGUAAUACGUAGGGGGCGAGCGUUGUCCGGAAUUAUUGGGCGUAAAGAGCGUGUAGGCGGUUCGGUAAGUCUGCUGUGAAAACCCAGGGCUCAACCCUGGGCGUGCAGUGGAUACUGCCGGGCUAGAGGGUGGUAGAGGCGAGUGGAAUUCCCAGUGUAGCGGUGAAAUGCGCAGAUAUUGGGAGGAACACCAGUAGCGAAGGCGGCUCGCUGGGCCAUACCUGACGCUGAGACGCGAAAGCUAGGGGAGCGAACAGGAUUAGAUACCCUAGUAGUCC